rnacentral:rRNA from 1 species
AACGAACGCUGGCGGCAUGCCUAACACAUGCAAGUCGAACGAGCCCUUCGGGUCUAUUGUCCUACGGGUGCGUAACGCGUGGGAACCUGCCCUUAGGUUCGGAAUAACUCCCCGACUGGGGUACUAAUACCGGAUCAUGUCUUCGGACCAAAGAUUUAUCGCCUUUGGAUGGGCCCGCGUUGGAUUAGCUAGUUGUUAGGGGAAAAGCCUACCAAGGCGACGAUCCAUAGCUGGUAUGAGAGGAUGAUCAGCGACACUGGGACUGAGACACGGCCCAGACUCCUACGGGAGGCAGCAGUGGGGAAUAUUGGAAAAUGGGCGAAAGCCUGAUCCAGAAAUGACGCGUGAGUGAUGAAGGCAUUAGGGUUGUAAAGCUCUUUUACCUGGGAUGAUAAUGACAGUACCGGGAGAAUAAGCUAAGGCUAACUCCGUG